AGUUAAUUAGUUAAGAGGCGUGCAAUAAAUUAUAAAGAUUUAACAAUAUUAUCAUUAAUUGAGAUAAAAUAAAUUUGAUUAACGUAUGAGCUUAAAAUUGCAUGGAAACAAAGAUAUAAGAUCUAAAAAGUGUACUAUAUUCGUGUUUAUUUAAAGCUUUCCUUUUACUAUAAAUCUUUAUUGUAUGAAUUUCUGCCGCUACCUACUAUGAUAACGGGUAAAAUAGACUUGAAGUUCUGUAAGCCCCCUUUUACUAAGAAGAAAUGAAGAUAAUAUUAAAACCAAUAGACUCAAAUCAUCCAAACAGUAAACUAUUACAAGAGCAAAAUUACACUAUAAGAGAGCUGAAAACUGAAGUUUUUACCUUUCAACAAGAAAUUGAGCUAGCAGUGAGGCAAAGCGAUCAAGAAGAUUUAGAACUUUAUAAAAUGAAAGCUAGGAAAAAGGAUUUCGAAAUAUUAUUGCAAAAACGCAGGUAUGAAAGCAAACAGUUAAAACAAGAUAUUUGGCUUACCUCAACUCUUUUAAAGAAAUUUAUAUCGUUUGUUGACCGCUUAGAAACGCGAAGGAGUAAAGUUUCAAAGUAUAUGAAGGAGAAUAAUUAUCUAAACCUCUAACUGUAGAAAGUAAAAUUUUUUAACAAAUAAGUAAACUAGAAUCUACCAGCUCAAGAUUUCAGGCUAUCAAACACCAAGCUGAAGAGUCUUCUCAUCAAAUUAUCAGGUAUAUAGCCAUAUCCAUAAUUUCAGCUUCUACAAUUUUAAUAGUUCCAGAGGAAAUUUAAAAAUUGAAAUUGAAAUUCUUGAAGGUAA